rnacentral:lncRNA from 1 species
GCUGAGGGUCGGAACAAGAGGCAGCUGAUGGGUCACAGUGGGCUUUGGCUGCAGCAAGAGUGACCUCCAUUUUCUUGUCUGCAAAGUGGGGACAGUGUUCUUCUGCCUAAGGGUCACUGCCUCUGGCAUACUGUGAGGCUGAGGUUGUGACCAAGCAGAGCGGAGAUGACGUGGAUGAUGUGACAGCAGAGGACAAAGUGUGUGUAAGCUGCCUCCCUGCCUCCCCAGGCCCAGGUCCUGACACAAACCUCCAUCUUGCCAAGGUACUGUGUCAGUCUCCCAGGGCAGCUGUAGUAAAGG